rnacentral:lncRNA from 1 species
AAUGAUAGUGCGAGUGGGGCAUUCGUGUACUGGGGACACAUUCUUGUUUAUACCUGUUAAGAGUCGAAAACUAAAUAUUAUUUUUAUAUAAAUAAACAUAUAUUGUGUCAUUUUAGAACUUAUAUUUUUCCAAAGGAUGCAUGAAUGAAAGUAGUGAAAUUCAUUUUGCUUUGAUAUAUAGAUUUGAAUUACAAUUGUUCAUGUUAUUGUAAUGCAUAUAAAAAUAAGGAGAUGUGGCACAAUGUAAAUAUAUGAUAUUCUGUGAGUUUAUCAAACUAAAGGGGAUAAGAAAUGGGUAUAAGCAGUUACAGGACUGUACUACUGUACAAUCUCCAACAAUGAGAAAAACUCAUACUGUAAAGAGAAUUUCAUAUUUACAAGUAAGUUUUGUUUUUGCAUUGAAUAAUUUUCUUCUAUUGUCUUAAAAGCAAAUAUGGGAAGUGGUUAAAAUGCUAAUGAGACAGCUUUUAUGGCCACCAGAUGUCAUUGUUACCUUGAUUAAAAACUCCUUUUUAGCUCACCUGACCUGACUCAUCACUUGGUUUCGUCGUCCAUAAACUUUUACAAAAAAUCUUCUCUGAAACUACUGUGCCAAAUUUAACCAAACUUAGCCAAAAUCAUCAUUGCGGUAUCUAAUUUAAAAAAUGUGUG